rnacentral:rRNA from 1 species
GACGAACGCUGGCGGCGUGCUUAACACAUGCGAGUCGAACGGAAAGGCCCUGCUUUUGUGGGGUGCUCGAGUGGCGAACGGGUGAGUAACACGUGAGUAACCUGCCCUUGACUUUGGGAUAACUUCAGGAAACUGGGGCUAAAACCGGAUAGGAGCUCCUGCUGCAUGGUGGGGGUUGGAAAGUUUCGGCGGUUGGGGAUGGACUCGCGGCUUAUCAGCUUGUUGGUGGGGUAGUGGCUUACCAAGGCUUUGACGGGUAGCCGGCCUGAGAGGGUGACCGGCCACAUUGGGACUGAGAUACGGCCCAGACUCCUACGGGAGGCAGCAGUGGGGAAUAUUGCACAAUGGGCGGAAGCCUGAUGCAGCAACGCCGCGUGCGGGAUGACGGCCUUCGGGUUGUAAACCGCUUUCGCCUGUGACGAAGCGUGAGUGACGGUAAUGGGUAAAGAAGCACCGGCUAACUACGUG